GGAUGUGAGGGCGAUCUGGCUGCAACAUCUGUCACCUCACUGAUUACCAGGGUUGAUUUAGCUGAUCUGGCUGCCUAGGGGGUAUCCCCUUCCUCCCUCACCCGCUAGCUCCAUGUGAAUCCCUCCCAAAGCUUCGCUCAGAGAAAGAGGACGGCCUUUCCGGAACAGAGACAUAGGAGUAGCUGCGUUCCCCUGCUAGAACCACCAGAUAAGCUCUCAAAGUAUCAGUGAAACCACAGCUAAUUAAACUACUUUUUAUCAUAACACAUACAAUAUUGACACUUAAUAAGAGGGAACUUUGAAAAUCGGU
rfam:Erinaceus europaeus unplaced genomic scaffold scaffold00002, whole genome shotgun sequence